UUUAUACUCCCUCAGUCCGAAAAUACUUUUUCUAAAGAUAAAUGUAUCUAGACUUAUUUUAGUUAUAGAUACAUUCAUUAUAUUCAUUUUUAGGACAAGUAUUUUCAGACGGAGAGAGUAUAUA
rnacentral:pre_miRNA from 1 species